UGGUUUUGAUGAUCCCAGUGGAUACUCAAC
rnacentral:piRNA from 1 species